rnacentral:rRNA from 1 species
GUAGGGGGCAAGCGUUGUCCGGAUUCAUUGGGCGUAAAGCGCGUGUAGGCGGCCAGGUAGGUCCGACGUGAAAACUGGAGGCUCAACCUCCAGCUGUCGUUGGAAACCAUCUGGCUAGAGUCCGGAAGAGGAGAGUGGAAUUCCUGGUGUAGCGGUGAAAUGCGCAGAUAUCAGGAAGAACACCAAUGGCGAAGGCAGCUCUCUGGGACGGUACUGACGCUGAGACGCGAAAGCGUGGGGAGCGAACAGGAUUAGAUACCCUGGUAGUCCACGCCGUAAACGAUGGGCGCUAGGUGUGGGCGGUGUCGACUCCGUCCGUGCCGAAGCUAACGCAUUAAGCGCCCCGCCUGGGGAGUACGGCCGCAAGGCUAAA